rnacentral:rRNA from 1 species
AGAGUUUGAUCAUGGCUCAGAUUGAACGCUGGCGGCAUGCCUUACACAUGCAAGUCGAACGUGAAAGGGGGGCAACCCCCGAGUAGAGUGGCGGACGGGUGAGUAACACAUCGGAACGUACCCAGUAGUGGGGGACAACCUCGAGAAAUCGAGGCUAAUACCGCAUACGACCCACGGGUGAAAGCGGGGGACCGCAAGGCCUCGCGCUAUUGGAGCGGCCGAUGUCCGAUUAGCUUGUUGGCGGGGUAAGAGCCCACCAAGGCGAUGAUCGGUAGCUGGUCUGAGAGGAUGAUCAGCCACACUGGGACUGAGACACGGCCCAGACUCCUACGGGAGGCAGCAGUGGGGAAUUUUGGACAAUGGGGGCAACCCUGAUCCAGCCAUGCCGCGUGCGGGAAGAAGGCCUUCGGGUUGUAAACCGCUUUCGGCCGGAACGAAAUCGCCCGGGUGAACAUCCCGGGUGGAUGACGGUACCGAAGAAGAG